CUGCACCUCGACGGACAGGUGCACGUCGCGCCCGGUCGCGGCGUCGGUCGGCGCCGAGCCGGUGUACGGGACGUUCCAGGCGUCCGCGGCGGU
rnacentral:tRNA from 1 species